AUUGCCUCAGUAACGGCGAGUGAAGCGGCAACAGCUCAAAUUUGAAAUCUGGCCCUAGGCCCGAGUUGUAAUUUGCAGAGGAUGCUUUUGGCGAGGUGCCUUCCGAGUUUCCUGGAACGGGACGCCAUAGAGGGUGAGAGCCCCGUCUGGUCGGACACCAAGCCUCUGUAAAGCUCCUUCGACGAGUCGAGUAGUUUGGGAAUGCUGCUCUAAAUGGGAGGUAUAUGUCUUCUAAAGCUAAAUACCGGCCAGAGACCGAUAGCGCACAAGUAGAGUGAUCGAAAGAUGAAAAGCACUUUGGAAAGAGAGUUAAACAGCACGUGAAAUUGUUGAAAGGGAAGCGUUCACGACCAGACUUGGGCCGGUUGAUCAUCCAGCGUUCUCGCUGGUGCACUCUGCCGGCCCAGGCCAGCAUCAGUUCGCCCCGGGGGACAAAGACGGCGGGAAUGUAGCUCCUCCGGGAGUGUUAUAGCCCAUCGUGCAAUACCCUGUGGUGGACUGAGGUUCGCGCUCUGCAAGGAUGCUGGCGUAAUGGUCGUCAACGACCCGUCUUGAAACACGGACCAAGGAGUCGUCUUCGUAUGCGAGUGUUCGGGUGUCAAACCCCUACGCGUAAUGAAAGUGAACGCAGGUGAGAGCUUCGGCGCAUCAUCGACCGAUCCUGAUGUUCUCGGAUGGAUUUGAGUAAGAGCAUACGGGGCCGGACCCGAAAGAAGGUGAACUAUGCCUGUAUAGGGUGAAGCCAGAGGAAAUUCUGGUGGAGGCUCGCAGCGGUUCUGACGUGCAAAUCGAUCGUCAAAUAUGGGCAUGGGGGCGAAAGACUAAU
rnacentral:rRNA from 1 species